AACAUUUCCAGCAACAACAAGUUGUUUCACAGAGCUGUUGGCAUUAUAAAGAGAUGUUCUGGCCUGUCAACAGAACAAAGCAGGGACUACCUGCUUCAGUCUAUUUAUGGCACAGACAGCAUGCCAGAGGAAAUCAAAAUCCGCCCCAUAUCUAGUCACAUAGAAACUGCCACACCUCUUUCUCAGGUUGUACCCUGAGCUUUGUUGUCAGCCAUUCUGCUUUGCAGUAUAUCAGAGUCUCAAGAACCAGUGAUACAGAGGGUUAUAUCUCGGACACUGUCUGGAGAACAGCAGUGAUACAGAGGGUUAUAUCUCGGACACUGUCUGGAGAACAGAUGUAGAAAAAGACUAUACCUUUAUCUAGUAAAUGUUGCUACAGUUGGUGUAUCUGUAUUGCUUAUAAUCAGGUAUAUGUAUUUUAACACAACAGUCCCUAGAAUAAUUGAUUAUAGAGCUGAAUAUCAUGUUUACUCCAAUCAAAUCAUUUCAUUUACUGUGAUGGUCAUUG